CAACUUUUUCUACCAUCUCGAGUGUGUCAUAUCCAACGUGACACUUCUUUUGUAUGGAACCUCACCAAUGGAAUGUCUCUCUCUCUCUCUGGACCCACUCUUGACCUUCCUGGGCCACUCUGGUGGAGUCCUAUCCAAAAUAUCCAUUCAACUGGAAUGAGUGUCGUCGUGUGAGAUUCUCUCUGUGUAAUUAUUGCCACAAGUUAUUAUCGCCUGAUUAACACCAAAGGGUUAAUUUAUUGUUAAACGAAGAAAAGCAAGGUGUUUCUAGAGGAUCAAACCUUCGCAUCUUCAUGUAACCACCGAGAGCCAUCCACCCAAACAUAAGCACUCCCAUUGAGCUGGUGAGAAAUGCAAGAGCAUUGCAAAUUGCUUUUGGAAGCUACUUAACACGCGGCUGUUGCAUUUGAGAGGAUACCCCACGGGCAAAAUCGCGAUGACAACUGGCGGAUGGUGCUGUUUAUGGUAAAAUUCAGCAAAACGAGUGGAUUAUUUAUGAGCAAUUGCCAUUUGAUGUUGUCUGCUGGUGUGUACAUUUUAUUGAAGUUAUGAGAAAUGAGCAGUGGAAAAGAAUCGAGCGAUUGAAGGUGAUUUGAAGUCAAGAGAAUCAUCGGACGUGGGAGACAAUCUCGUGAAUGGUAGUCACUAGAGAUGUCUUGCAUUCUCCAUGUGACAACAACAUGAAGAAAAAAAGAUACAGAUGCAAUUCAGCAGUGUCUCCCAGCCAGUGAAGUGUCCCAGAAAAAUUCUCGGGACAAUUUUAUGAUUUUUAAUAUUCUUUUCUGCUCAAUAUUUGUCCAUCCGGGAGUUUUUUUGGGAAGAAUGGCGCAAGAGAACCGGUUCAUGAGCAGGUUUCGCGCUCCUCGACAUCUUAUGUACCUUCUUGCACACCUAUAAAUUUAAAUCAGAAAAAUCCAUCUGUGACUGCAUGAGACAAGCCCUAAAAGAAAUUUUGCGACACAGACAACGAAGGUUUAUCCAUUGGCUGCAUUCCCGAUCCAGCAUAAUUUACCCAGAGACCCAUCAUAAAAAAAAGAGUCCAUUCACAAAUAUUUGAAUGGAUCAUUUUGGAAGACAACUUCAUCAAAACCAUCCAGUCGUUCAUCCGCUGGACAAACACAGAACCACAGAGCGAUAAUUAAUGACCCACCUGAAGUAAUGGAUUCAUUUCAUUCAUAAAAAUCAUGUCUCGAUUGUGUAUGGAGAUGAGAUUGGGAUCACCACUCUGUAUUGAAUUUCAAUUGAUUCCUGACUGCUUUUUUUUGGCACACCAGUAUCUCUAUUUGAUUCGACCGCAGGCAAAAAUUGGAUCACGAGAGAGCACAACACUUGAAGAAUUAAUUAAAGGUGUCAACUGGAAGGUGAUUUUAUGUGUAGGUGGCGACAAAUGCUCUCAACGGGCUCACGAAGGAGAAAGUACUAAUUGCAGGCGAUGUCCUUGGAAGGAUUAUAGCUACAAUCGAACGUACUGGCAUUUAACAUGACAGAUCUCUUAUGUUAGAGUUGAAAUGUAUUAGUUGGUAGAAUUUGUAGAUAAGAGAGUUAGAAGGUUCAUUGAUAAACAAAAAAAAUCUCAUAGAUAUAUAACAGUUAGAAAGCUAUUGAAAAUUGUUCGUGUUUCCAAGACCUUUCUCAUAAACCUACAUUUGUCUCAAUCGGUUAAGAAAUAUGCUCUCUGGAGUC